CUCAUAUUAAAAGAUAUAAAAUUUUAAUCAAUAACGAGAGUGACGGGCGAUGUGUACACACUUCAGAGCCAAUAUCAGUUAAAUUAAAUAAUUUAAAUUACUAUCAAAUCCACCUUCAUUAAAAUAUUACAAAAUUAAAUCCAUAAUAAAAAAAAAAUUAUUGUAACCCAUCAUACACUUAACUAUAAGCUGCACCUUGACCUGAAAUAAAUUUUAAUAAAAAAACAAGAAAAUUUUUUCUCCAAAAAGAUUUUCUGAUAACGGAGAUAUACAAACAAAUAAAUUAAGUAAAGUAAAUCGUGUACUAUCAAUCAUGAGAUAGGUUCCUCUGAAUGGAAUGAAAUACCGCCAAAUUCUUUGGGUUUAAAGACCUUAACUAAUAAUACCCAGGUAAAACAAAAUUUACAUUUAAAAUAAUA
rnacentral:rRNA from 1 species